GACAACUAGAUAUGACACCAGUGAUAAGCAACAGUUUGUUAUGGAAGUUGUUGACGAUGAUAAUGUGGCGUACGUGAUAGAUGCAUUUUUGAGCCAAUCGUAGCAAAGAUUCAUUGAGUUGUAUAUAUAAGUGGACUCUGGUGAACACUAUUUAUGUGAACCUUCAUUGUGUCCAAUUAGGGUGGAUAUCAACAUGUAGUGGAAGGGUGAAAGGAUCCAUGUUACUGUCAAAGGAUCUUUACAGGUGAACAAAUUCUUUGUUCUGUAGACAUCAUCGGUUUACUAUCAGAAAUUGGGAAGUUCGUGAGCAUGUUGUCUCCAGUAGGAAAACAAAAAUGGUUGCGUUGACCUCAGGUAUUUUUGUCAUAUCGAUAUGAAAUAUAUAUUGAUUUCUUACUAUCACUGCGGAAAUGGGGUUAACAAGCACAGGUACACUUUGUGGGAGCAACAUGUAGAUGAAGUGCAGACUUUCUUGGCAAAUAAUCAAUCUUCUCAUAACGUGAUAAUUUUUCAGCUUGCAAGGAUAAAGGGUUUUAGGGGUAUUUUUGGAUUUUUCUUAAUAAUUUUUAUUCUUGUGUUUUAGUAUGUUUCUUUUCUUAACUUUGUUAUACCCUGUUUGUUUCUCUGUAUCUCUCUCUCUUACGUCUUCUUAAUUGUAUAGGUAAAAUAGGAAUAAUGAAUACAAAAUAUAUGCAAGGAUUCUUUUGGAUUCCAAUGUACCAGAGAUUGUAGAAUUAAAAAAAAGGUGGACUAUAUAUUUUUAAACUGCGUGUAAAUUAAUAUACAUACAUGUGUCGUCGAUGAAGCAUUGAUUUGAGUAUAUGCACAAAUUGCUUGCUAUUAUAUUAUGUUUUAGGCUUACAUAUGAUCCGAUAGAAAGAGUAUGAGGUUGACUCAGUUGUCCAACCAAUCAUCAUAUUCUUUUGAAAAUGAUUUUCUGAUAGAAACUAAAGGAAGUCUAUCAGUGAUAUUAAGAAUUGCAGUGACAUUACCACGUGCAUUAUUUAUGGAGCCAUAAAAUCAAUUGAACGCAGGUACAACUGGUGGUACAAGUCCUAUAAGAAAUGUUCAUAUUCUGUUUGUGAAGAUUUUGAAAAAUGGUAUUGUAAGAACUUCUAGAAACAUUGGGAUAAUUAUUAUCCUAAUUAAGAUUUUUUGUCUCUAAUUUUUAGUUUUGUUAUAAAAUCAUUCCUUUGUGAUGUGUAUCUAAGACCGCUGGUGUUAAUGUGUGACAGAUUUAGUGUUCAAGUAAGAGUGGUGGAUAACACGAAUUCUGCAUCUUUCAUAUUGUUCGAUAGAGAUUGUGCUACUUUAUUGGGAAUGAGUGAUGCUAGUAUACGCGAGCAGCAUUUCAAGCGGGAUGCUGAUUUGGAGCAUUAUCCUGAAGAACUUAAAGUUCUUAACGACAAAUCUAUGUUAUUUAAUGUGAAAAAAAAAGAAUUUAGAC